rnacentral:lncRNA from 9 species
GUAAGUUCAUCAAUUGCAACAAACGUAACACUCGGGCGGCAAAGCUCUCUGGGCUGUGGGAGACAGAGAGUAAAAUGGGAAAAACUCUACCUUUUCCUCAGUUUUGCUAUAAACCUAAAACUGCUCUAAGAAAUGAAGACUUGGAGUUCCCGUCGUGGUACAGUGGUUAACGAAUCCGACUAGGAACCAUGAGGUUGCGGGAUCGAUCCCUGCCCUUGCUCAGUGGGUUAACGAUCUGCUGUUGCCGUGAGCUGUGGUGUUCCCAGGCUAGGGGUCCAAUCAGAGCUACAGCUGCCGGCCUACACCGCAGCCACAGCAAUGCCGGGUCCUUAACCCACUGAGCGAGGCCAGAGAUCCAACCCACAACGUCAUGGUUCCUACUUGGGUUGAUUAACCCCUUAGCCAUGGUGGGAACUCAAUUACAGCAUCUUUAAAGUCAUUGAUUUGUGUUGGACGCCCCUCUUCUGUGAACCCUGUGAUACCCAUGGUUGCUUUGAUCUGGGGCAACCACAUCUGACCAAUUUCCAUGUACCUUCUGAGUCAGAUUCUUGCAUAGGGUCCUUUCGAUCAGAUUCCUAUGUUGGGUCCAAAGGUGGCCAGUCCCUUCAUCCUUGUUUUCUGCAAAGAGAAAGCUCUUGUUGAUGUUUAAGUCUCAAAGACAGAGUCCUAGCUGGACAUUUCAAUCUGCAGUCAGAUGAGUGCAACUGUUUUAAUUAUCCAAUUAACAUGAAGUGACACAUUUAAGGGCAAAUAAAAUUAACAUGAACAGAAGUGAAGGCAUGUGAUGAAACCUACAGCAUAUACCCAUUCAAAGUAUCAACGUCAGAAGUCAAACUUUCUUAACUAAUAAACUCUUAGCUCAGUAACUUUUAAAAGCAGGGUUUUUUUUUUUUUUUUUUGGUAUUUUCUUUUGCACAGAUCAUGAAACAAAUGUCAAGUGGAGUUACAAAGGGUGUUCCCUCUCUCGGUACUAGAAGUGAGGGUGGGCCAUGAGGGGACAAGGAUAUUCCUGUUGCUUGACAACAUUAUGCUCAGAAAAUAUCAAAAAGCAUAGAGAGUUUAAAAUGGGUGUUUACAUAUAAUAUCCAUGCAUAUUUACAUUUAAUAUCAUAUUGGAUUUAAUUUUAUUACUUUCUGGAAGGCAAUUGGGAGAAAAAUAAACACAGUGGAAUGUUAUCUCAUUGGCAUGCAGAAUCAAUGCGAUAAUCACAUGGCUGAUAUAAACUCAUAAGAAAAUGCUUCUGACAUUUCACCGGAGCUUCUUAAUUUAGUAUUUACAAUGUCUGUGUGAAGUGAUAAAGUAGCUUUAUUGUUUAAUUAUGGAGAUGGCAGAAUGUAGCAGAUUCCUGACUUUUUCCCCUUCAUGACUAUUAGCCUGCUUUCCAACUGUUGAAUGUGACAUAUAAGUUGGGCUCCUGUUAGGUUCGCUCUUGCCUGUAUUUCAAAUAAUGUCUAAUCCUUCUUGAAGAUGCUUUUAAAAAAGGCUCUUCCUCUCCAAUAUGUGGACUUUUAUUAUGAGCAAUAAUGUAACACAGGGGUAUGAUUAUGGUGAGAUAAUCACAGUGCAGAAUAGGAAUGAUGCUUUGGAGCCCUAUAACCUGCCCAGAAAUGAUGAUUCAUCUUGCUGGUGCCUCUUAGAUUUAUUGCUCCUUUCGGUAAGGUGAUCAGCUCUUUUGGAAAUGAGGGCUGGAUUUUGUUUUUAUUACACUCAACAUGUAUAAUUUUUAAAUGUCAUUAUUUGCACCAGCAAAUGUGUAAUAAGGGUAAAUCAGAAGGAGGGGUAACAAAUGGCUUGGCCCUCUCCCCAACUAAUGUAGAAUUCAUGAGCAGGAGCCAUAACCCUGAGUACUGUUUGUAGAAAGAGCUUGAGCUUGUUUUUCUAGCGACAUUUGGAUUUGAGGCGCUGCGUCGACUCAUCUCUGGGGUUGAUUAGGUGAGUCAGAUGUCUCCUUUCUCCUCCACUGUUCCCUUGGCAGUUUUAACAAUUCUUAUUAGGCCUUUAUAUUUAACAGCAGUUAGAUGUCUGUGAGCAUUCCUACUCUGCUCUAGGACUACCACCCCUCAUCCACACCGCUUCCUUCCAAAUGAGCUACUUCUCCAUUCCUGGGACACGAGACGAUGAAGCCAGGGUGAAAUAUGUCUGUCUGCCAGCAGCAACCUCCAUAAGGCCAACUCCCCAGAAGCUGUAUUUCUGAUUUUAAAGAUUUAUCUUAUGGCAAAUAGCUCCAUUUAAAGAAAAGGAAGCAAAUGUAUAAAAUCCCACUGUCUCCAGAAUGGAUAUUGAGUGAUUAACCUUCCCCACAACUUCACAGAGGCUGCCACAAGGAACUCAGCCAGAGAGAAUUGAUUUACUUAUGCAGGAAUAAAAAUGAACAGGGUGCCAGGCCUGUUGACAGGAAGAGAUGUGUGAGUCCGGCCUUAUCUUUAUGUUAUUGCCCUUGCCAGCUGCUAUCACACUCUUAGGAUAAAGCAGAUGACCGAGGUUACAAGUCACUGGUUGGAAGUUGGAUAGAGAAUUCAGGAUUUUUUCUCUUUGCACGUAUUGGCCCGAGUCCAGACAAAGGUGACUUGCUGGAUGAAAAACCCACUCUCCAGGAAACAGACGUAAGGAACAAACCACAGCACUUAUGUGGCCAGACAGAUCUUUUACUGUAAAGCAGUUUGUAGUGAUCAAGUGAUGGGCAUGGAUGAAGAGGAAAGCUCUGAAGAGCUUGAUGCCAUCUAUAGGCUCAAUUAGAUAAGGGUUCAACUUGGUCAGCCUGGCUCAUAUCUACCAGCCCCUUGGAGCCAUCUUCCCAUCAAUAAAUGAGGUCUGCUAAAUUCUAGUCCCUGUUAUGUGACUGUGUGAUCAACUCACUAUUCUCUGUCGGAACUUAUAAAGCCAUGAAGUAGAGAUAAAAAGUAUUUAAUGCAAUUAUUAGGGAGAUAGGAUGUGUAUCAAAGUACCAUUGACCCUCCCUAUUCAUUGAUUCCAUAUUUGCCAAUUGGCCUAAUCGCUAAAAUGUGUUUGUAGCCCCCAAAUCAAUGCAGCAUUUUUGCAAUCAUUUGUGGGCAUGUAUUGAGCAGUAAAAAAAAAGAAAAAAAAAAAAA